CAGCCGCCACGGUAAGACAGAGGAUGCAAGCGUUAUCCGGAAUGAUUGGGCGUAAAGCGUGCGUAGGCGGCUUCUUAAGUCGGAUGUGAAAUCCCUGAGCUUAACUUAGGAAUUGCAUUCGAUACUGGGAAGCUAGAGUAUGGGAGAGGAUGGUAGAAUUCCAGGUGUAGCGGUGAAAUGCGUAGAGAUCUGGAGGAAUACCGAUGGCGAAGGCAGCCAUCUGGCCUAAUACUGACGCUGAGGUACGAAAGCAUGGGGAGCAAACAGGAUUAGAUACCCCAGUAGUCCCUGUCUCUUAUAC
rnacentral:rRNA from 1 species